rnacentral:rRNA from 1 species
UACGGGGGGGGCAAGCGUUGUUCGGAAUUACUGGGCGUAAAGGGCUCGUAGGCGGCCAACUAAGUCAGAUGUGAAAUCCCUCGGCUUAACCGGGGAACUGCGUCUGAUACUGGAUGGCUUGAGAUUGGGAGAGGGAUGCGGAAUUCCAGGUGUAGCGGUGAAAUGCGUAGAUAUCUGGAGGAACACCGGUGGCGAAGGCGGCAUCCUGGACCAACACUGACGCUGAGUGAGCGAAAGCCAGGGGAGCAAACGGG